AUUGAACGCUGGCGGCAUGCUUUACACAUGCAAGUCGAACGGUAACAGGCCUUCGGGUGCUGACGAGUGGCGAACGGGUGAGUAAUGCAUCGGAACGUACCCAGAGGUGGGGGAUAACGCAGCGAAAGCUGUGCUAAUACCGCAUGUGAUCUGAGGAUGAAAGCGGGGGACCGAGCAGCAAUGUUUGGCCUCGCGCCUUUGGAGCGGCCGAUGUCGGAUUAGCUAGUUGGUGGGGUAAAGGCCUACCGAGGCGACGAUCCGUAGCUGGUCUGAGAGGGCGAGCGGCCACAUUGGGACUCAGAUUCGGCCGGGACUCCGACGGGAGGGAGGAGCGGGGGAGAUUGGACAAUGGACGGAAGCGGGAAGAAACAGCUCCGCGUGCGGGAUGAGGGCCGUGGAUUUGUACAACGCUUUCGCCUGGGACGAAGCGUGAGCGACGGUAAUGGGUAAAGGAGCACAGGAUAACUAAGUG
rnacentral:rRNA from 1 species